AUGCGCCCCGAGGAGGGCGGCGCGGCCGGGCUGGGCGAGCUGCGCUCGUGGUGGGAAGUGCCGGCCAUCGCGCACUUCUGCUCGCUCUUCCGCACGGCGUUCCGCCUGCCGGACUUCGAGAUCGAGGAGUUAGAAGCAGCUCUCCACAGAGAUGACGUGGAGUUCAUCAGCGACCUGAUCGCCCGCCUGCUCCAGGGCUGCUAUCAGCGAAGGGACAUCACGCCUCAGACCUUCCACAGCUACCUGGAGGACAUCAUCAACUACCGCUGGGAGCUGGAGGAGGGGAAGCCCAACCCUCUGCGGGAGGCCAGCUUCCAGGACCUGCCCCUGCGCACCCGAGUGGAGAUUCUCCACCGCCUUUGUGACUACCGGCUGGACGCAGACGACGUCUUCGACCUCCUCAAGGGCCUGGACGCAGACAGUCUCCGUGUGGAGCCGCUGGGCGAGGACAGCUCAGGGGCCCUCUACUGGUAUUUCUACGGAACGCGAAUGUACAAGGAGGACCCGGCACAAGGAGGGUCCCAUGGAGAGCUCUCUCUGAGCAGGGAAAGUGAAGGACAAAAAAAUGUCUCAAAUGUUCCUGGGAAAACAGGUAAAAGAAGAGGAAGACCCCCAAAACGGAAAAAACUACAGGAGGAAACUUUCAUGAGUGACAAGCAGGAAGAGAACUCCUCAGCAUCUGAGUUGCAGACGAGAAACGGGUCCCAGGGACCAGGGCAAGGCUCCUGGUGGCUCCUGUGCCAGACUGAGCAGGAGUGGAGACAGGUCACCGAGAGUUUCCGGGAGAGGACCUCUGUGCGAGAGCGCCAGCUCUACAAACUGCUCAGCGAGGACUUCCUGCCCGAGAUCUGCAGCAUGAUCGCCCAGAAGGAGACCCCUGUGCUCAGCAGGCUAGAGAAACAGAAGCGCCGGGAGGAGGAGGAGGAGCGCCAGAUCCUUCUCGCGGUGCAGAAGAAGGAGCAGGAGCAGCUGCUGAAGGAGGAGAGGAAGCGGGAGCUGGAGGAGAGGGUCAAGGCCGUGGAAGAUCGAGCCAAGAGGCGCCGGCUCAGGGAGGAGCGGGCCUGGCUGCUGGCCCAGGGGAAGGCACUGCCCCCACAGCUGUCCCACCUGGACCCCCAGUCCCCGCCUCGGGCCGAGAAGAGGACGAGAGACCCCUUCGAGCUGGAUGAUGACUUCACCGCCAUGUACAAAGUUCUGGACGUGGUGAAGGCUCACAAGGAUUCCUGGCCCUUUUUGGAACCAGUGGACGAGUCGUAUGCCCCUAACUACUACCAGAUCAUUAAGGUCCCCAUGGAUAUUUCAAGCAUGGAGAAGAAACUGAAUGGAGGUUUAUACUGUACCAAGGAGGAGUUUGUGAACGACAUGAAGACUAUGUUCAGGAAUUGUCGGAAGUACAAUGGGGAGAGCAGCGAGUACACCAAGAUGUCGGACAACCUGGAAAGGUGCUUCCACCGGGCGAUGCUGAAGCAUUUUCCUGGGGAGGACGGGGACACAGACGAGGAGCCGUGGAUGCGGGAGGAGGAGAGGCGGGAGAAGAGGCGGGGGCGGGGCGCGCGGGGCCACGUGUGCACCCGCUCCCGGGACUCGGAGGCGCCGGGCCGGAGGCAGCCCGCGGAGAACGGAGGGAAGGCGCUGCCCCUGGGCCGCCGCGCCGCUGCCUCUGGGGCUAGUCAGAGCAGCUCCGUGCAGCCCCCUGGCCAGAGGCCAGCAGGACAGGGAGCGUUUUGUCCUCUCCGAGGCUCGGAUCCUGCUGAAGUCAGUGUGUCCUCUGGAGCCCCGGGUCCGCCCGCCCGUGGGCCUGGCCUGCAGCCCCCGCCUCUGGCGGUACAGCCUCCAGCUGGAAUUAACCACCACCGAGGCCCCGGGUGUGGCCCCCCUGAUGAGAAGCUGGCGUGCGGAGGGCUGGCCUCCCUUGCUGACAUGGGCUCUCGACCUGGACCCUUGCCACUUGGUCAGAUGAGCGGCCCCAGCCAGGAUGGGCGCGUGUAUCCCCCCACUCAUUUCCAGCCAGGGCUCCUUCCUCCCAGGCACGGGGGUGCUCCAGCCCGACCCCCAGACUUCCCUGAGAGUCCAGAAGUCCCUCCCGGCCACAUGUACCGACCCUACAAGUACCUGAGCCGAGUGCACUCUGCGGUCUGGAAUGGGAGCCACGGUGCUGCAAACCCAGGACCCUUGGGGCCAGACGAGAAGCCCCCCGUGGGGCCAGGACCUUCUCACCAGCCCCGCCCUUUGGGUCACAUGAUGGAUUCCCGAGUGAUGAGACCUCCCCUCCCCCCAAACCAGUGGACAGAACAAUCCGGCUUCCUACCUCACAGCGUUCCUCCUUCAGGGUACCUGCACCCCCCGUGUAAACCUGGCGCACAGCGGCUCCAGCCCCCUGCAGCCCCAGCACUGGGUUCUCUGUUUGGAGCUCCGGCCCCGGCCCUGCGAGGCGUGCAGGGUGGGGACUCCAUGCUGGACAGCCCCGAGAUGCUGGCCAUGCAGCAGCUCUCCUCCCGUGGGUGCCCACCAGGCGUGCCUUACCACCCCCGCCAGCCUGCACCACCCCGCCUGCCUGGCCCUUUCCCACCCAUGGGCCUGGUGGCCCCCAAGCCUGCCUCAGGGGACCCUGGGAGGACACAGGACGGCAGUGACGUGCAGGAGCCUGAGAACGGCCAAGUGGAUCCCUUGCCCGGGCUCGAGGAGAGACCAGCGAGUGUCGGUGCUUCAGAGGGGGCGUUCCUCAAGCAGCUACCUCACCCUGCGCCCCCCCUGCAGGCUGACUUUGCCAGGCGGAGCUCACCCCAAGGAAGGGGCCCAGAGGGCCCGGAGCUCAGGCCGGAGUCCUCGGAACCUGGGGACGGCUGCCCAGCGAGCACGGUCAGGUCUGCCUGGCUCUCAGGGAGUGGCUUCGCCAGCCCACCCGCCCAGGCAUGCACCCUGGCAGACCUGGGGCCGCUGCCCGAAAACGGACUGCGGGUGGAAGCCUCCCCAUGUGGGUCUGAGGGCAAGAGCAGGGCGCCACCCGAGGCUGGGGCCCCUGCAGAGCCCGCGUGCUCCCCUCUGUACACGCCCGGCUUGGAGUUCCCCAGCUCCGCCACACGGUACCAUGUAGGCCCAGGUCUGCAGCCUGUGGGUCCUGUGAUGGGGGGCAAGCCUCCAGCCCCGCACCCUCCCCCCUUUCCCCCUCGGGCUUUUCAGUCUCAUGACCCUCAUUCUGGAGUCUUCCCUCGGUACCGCCCCCACCAGGGCAUGCGGUAUCCAUACCAGCCACCACCGCAGCCUUCCUACCACCACUACCCGCGGACUCCUUACUACUCGUGUCCACAGGGCUUUUCAGACUGGCCGAGACACCUCGCAGCCCCCGUAAGCCCGAGCGGGCCCCCACCAGCUCAGCCCACCCCUGCCAGGCCCCUCUUCCCCGACAAGAGCGCUGUGACCGGGCUGCAGGGCUGCGAGGCACUAAGUGCUGCCUUAACGCCCCCCGCGCGGGUCGACGCGGUGGAGGCUCUGGGUGCUGCCUUAACUUCGCCCACGCGGGUGGACGCCGUUGCUGCCAAGAUGGCCGAGGGGCAGAACCCCGGCCCCGAGGGCAAGCAGGAUGAGUCUGUGGAGCAGCCAGAGAGCCCCAAAGAGUUCCUGGACUUGGAUAACCACAACGCGGCUGCCAGGCGGCAGGGCUCCCUGUCGGCCAGCGAGUGUCUCUACGGCGCGCCCCCCACCCCGCUCGGCCCGGGCAUGGCCUUCGGUUCGCCCGCCUUUCCCCCACACACAGUGAUGCUGCACGCUGGGCCGCCUUACCCCCCACAGCGGCCGGCCGCGCAUUUCCAGCCCAGGGCUUACGCCUCCCCCUCGGCUACUCACCCGCCUCACCGCCCAGUGGCGGCGCAGCCCAAUGGCCUGUCCCCCGAGUGCCCCCUCUACCGCUACCCUGAGGAGGGCCUGGGCCACUUCCAGGCCGUGAUGAUGGAGCAGAUGGGUCCCGGAAGUGGGGCGAGGGCGUCCUUCCAGGAGAUGUACAGACCGUCCGGACUGCAGGGGCCCUCGGUCCAGUCCCGGCCCUCGUUCCCAAAGACGCCGGCUCCAGCAGCAUCGCAGGAGGAGCUGCCCCCCCAGAAGCCCCCAACGCUUCCACUCGAUCAGAGCUAG
rnacentral:lncRNA from 1 species